UAACUAUCUAUAAAACUGUAGUGUAGAAUCUUAAAUGUCUAUGUAUUAGCUAUAGAAGAACACAUUUUUUCUUUAUCCAUUCAGGUACGAUUGUUGCAGCAGCUGCAGGAGCAGUUGUUGUAGCUCCUGCUGCUCUAGCAGCUGCUGGUUUCACUGCAAGAGGAAUAGCUGCAGAUUCUUUGGCCACCGGUUGGAUGUCAACUGCAGCUGUGCUUAACGGAGGAGGGGUCGCAGCUGGAUCUGUGGUAGCAGUUCUUCGAUCUGCAGGUGCAGCUGGAUUGUCUGUGGCAGGUCAGGCGACUGCGGGUGCUAUAGGGGCUACCAUUGGUGCAGUUGCAAGCAUCAUUAUCUGAGGACAUGAGCUUUGUAUAUUA